UACAGAGGUCUCAAGCGUUGUUCGGAUUCAUUGGGCGUAAAGGGUGUGUAGGUGGCGCCGUAAGUCGGGUGUGAAAUUUCGGAGCUUAACUCCGAAACUGCAUUCGAUACUGCGGUGCUUGAGGACUGGAGAGGAGACUGGAAUUCAUGGUGUAGCAGUGAAAUGCGUAGAGAUCAUGAGGAACACCGGUGGCGAAGGCGGCGUCCUGGACCAACACUGACACUGAUGAGCGAAAGCCAGGGGAGCAAACGGG
rnacentral:rRNA from 1 species